rnacentral:rRNA from 1 species
UGGGGAAUCUUGGACAAUGGGCGCAAGCCUGAUCCAGCCAUGCCGCGUGAGUGAAGAAGGCCUUCGGGUUGUAAAACUCUUUCGUCGGGGACGAUAAUGACGGUACCCGAAGAAGAAGCUCCGGCUAACUUCGUGCCAGCAGCCGCGGUAAUACGAAGGGAGCUAGCGUUGUUCGGAAUCACUGGGCGUAAAGCGCACGUAGGCGGAUAGUUAAGUCAGGGGUGAAAUCCUGGGGCUCAACCCCAGAACUGCCUUUGAUACUGGCUGUCUCGAGGUCGAGAGAGGUUGGUGGAAUUCCUAGUGUAGAGGUGAAAUUCGUAGAUAUUAGGAAGAACACCAGUGGCGAAGGCGGCCAACUGGCUCGAUACUGACGCUGAGGUGCGAAAGCGUGGGGAGCAAACAGGAUUAGAUACCCUUGUAGUCCCUGAGCGGGCUGGCAAGGCGCAU